rnacentral:rRNA from 1 species
UACGUAGGGGGCAAGCGUUGUCCGGAAUCAUUGGGCGUAAAGAGCGCGUAGGCGGCCCUGUAAGUCCGCUGUGAAAGUCAAGGGCUCAACCCUUGAAUGCCGGUGGAUACUGCAGGGCUAGAGUCCGGAAGAGGCGAGUGGAAUUCCUGGUGUAGCGGUGAAAUGCGCAGAUAUCAGGAAGAACACCCGUGGCGAAGGCGGCUCUCUGGGACGGUACUGACGCUGA